rnacentral:tRNA from 1 species
CAUCACCGUGGUGGAGGCCGGCCGCACGGCCCAUCUGGCGGGGCAGUGCCCGAUCGGCCCGGACGGUGACGUC